GAAGCCAACUUCGAACUGGUCCAUAGAAAAGAAACUUCAUUCCCUUGGAGUACAUGAGUUCUGACGGCAUCGUUGGUAACGUGAAGAAGACGCGGCUAAAAUAAAUGUAUCUGAGCAAAACGACCGACUUGAGCCCUGAUUAAGACCUCGGAGGGAGUAACAUAUUGACUUGACCUGGUGCUGGAAAUUGUUCUCAUUGUCUCCUUAACUUGAGCACACGAACGCCAGAAAAUUCCCCGGCAAGUCAUUAGAGAACAUUUCAGUUGAACGCCCCCACGGGUCUGAUCUUCAUCUCGGUAAAGUCCAGGGACGCCAGGUGGCCCGUCCACGGUUCCCAGUUUAUUCCCUGAGAGCCAGGAAGGCGAUGAUGCUGACAAUGUAUCCCUUGCCCAUCUGGACGCUGGACAUGGCAAAGGUACUCUCUCUCGACCCCAGCAGCAUCUCAACAGUCUGAGCACCAAAUAAACAUAACAAUGAUGAAAGGAAUCUGGGAAAAAUGUGCAAACUUUGCACAGAAUAGGGCUUGAAUUGAACUGGUGUAUUGAGGCUGCAGUGCUAACUAUUCUUUCACCAUGUCAUGAGUAUUCUAGUUUUGUAUUUAAAGGUGCAACAGGUGUAGUACAGUAAUAGGAGCUUGCACUUAAUUGCCACAAGAGGUCAGCCUUGUACAGAAAAGUAUGGCCAAUGCAAAGUUGAAGGCUGACAGUUAUAGUGAUAUGUGCAUAAGAAAAGAGGUUUACAGUUUGUGUGCAUUGGGCCCCAAUUUUAUAAUAAUAAUAAUAAUGAAUGAAACGCACUUUACAUUUGAUAAAAUCGCAAACAGUUUUUGUUUCAUUGUUGUUAACAUUAUCUUCAACGCACCUCCAUGUUGCCCUCCUCAUCCCUAAAGGUGAGGAUAUAGCCUUCAAUGUCAGCCAGAGGAGGAGUCCAUGUCAACAUGGCUGAAUCCAUGGUCACAUCCAAAGCCUGCAGGUCCUUGGGAGCGUCGAUCUCUGUCAGAUACAUCACAGCAGACGUCGCAUCAAUCAUUCGUGCAGCUACGUAAUAUUGCACCUCAUUAUAGUUUGGAUUGUGGGUGCCGUAAAGCGUGAAAUUGCUAUCAUAAUUAUAUUUUACUUAACAUGCAUGUUGGCUUAACAGCAUUCAGUUACCUUCUGUUGCUGAACCAGUUAGUAGCCAAUCUAGAAAACAUUUACCAUCAGGCAAACAUUUAAAAUGUGUUUAAAAUAAUAUAUAAAAGUAAAUACUUAUGUAUAUUUUAUUACAUUUAAAUAAUAUGAAUUAUUAAAAAUAACAACAAUAAAUGCAUACUUUUGAAAACAAAUACUUUUAUGCGUAUAUUGGGGCACUUGGUGUGUCCAAAAAUGUCUCAAAUGAAAAUAUUAUUUACUAAGUCUGACCCCUGAUGGAUAAAAUGAGUCAUUAUAAUACAUAUCAAAGAAUGCAAAAAUCUGAAAAAUAAUGACUACUACCUUAAAAUACCCAAUAGUUAUAUAUGUUUUCAUUGGUAUAAUAAGGCACUCUGUUAAUCCAAAAAUGUUUAAAAUAAAAAUAUUAUUUUCUAAGACUAAAACGAGACAUUACACAGUACAGAAAUGUUGUUGUUUUUUACGUGCUAAUUAAAACGGCCAGUUCAUACUUAUUCUUGACACAAAGCUACGUUUGUUCCAAGUCCUCCAGCAUGUGGCUGCUGAUUCUAUUGACACUCAGCUACACAUCAUACUGUAGUUGACCUCUCGCAAGGCUUCCCUGCCAAAAUAAGGAAUUCUGCUACUCCCUGCAAGAUUUUCCGUGGCUUUGACCAGGAAUGAAUGAAUAUGUGCAGUGUAUAGAAAGCCAAGGAAUGUGGAACGUUAGUGGUACACCUGCAAGAAAUACCUUCAUUCAGUACAAUAAUUAGUAGUUCUGCUUUGACAAAGAUAUUUACAGUUGCUAUUCAUUUAAUAUCAUAUUUUUUGUUGUGCUUUUAGUUGGCUGUUUUAAUGUUUUCAGCUAAUCUUCUACACUACUGCAUUUGAAAAAAGAAAAAAAAAAUCAUUAAAAUCAGUUGUGUGUGUUGGAUCAACCUGU